rnacentral:misc_RNA from 1 species
CCAAUAAUAUCAAUUUCUGUUUCUAUUUCCUGUCUGCCCCCGUCUUCUUCGUUGUUUUCUCCUAAGCCCAAACGUUCUCACAACCCAACCACGUUUUCUUGUGGUGAAUAUGUGCCCAGCAACGCCUCCAACUACAAAUCCACUUCCAUAGCCCAACAAAACUAUCUUCCAACCAAAUUCAAAUGGAGAUCCUGACCCAUUAUCUUUCGCAAGGGAUGGGGGAUGUGGUGUAGAUGCCUCCACGUCUCCGCAUUUCUUCUUCAAAGGAGCUCCACACAAUCCUACGUUCCCUGCAAAUGAUUUGUCCUCAAACGUAUCGAACUGGUUUCCUUGAGGAAUUGGUCCUGCAAGCUGAUUGUAUGCCACAUUGAAAGAUGAAAGGAAUGUAAGUUGUGUUAAUAGUGAUGGAAUCUCUCCUGAAAACUUGUUUGCAGAAAGGUCCAAACAUUCCAGUUCCUUCAAGUUCGCCAAAGAUGAUGGUACAUGACCCCUCAGCAUGUUGUUGGAUAAGUUGAGCAAAUGAAGCGCCUUGAGAUUUCCAAUGACUUCUGGAAUAUCGCCUUCAAAUCUGUUGUGGGAGAAAUCAAUUACAGCCAAAGCACCUGGAAUCUUCAAAUAUUCCAUUUCUGAACCUUUGUUGUUGAUGAUCAUUGAGUAGUCGUAAGUGUUAUAAUAUGGAGUUGUAGUGAACUCUUCAUUUUUUCCUAUGUAUCUCGUAGGAUUUGCAUCUGCAACUUUCAUGGCAUUCCAUCUUUCGAAGUACAUUGAAGGCAACUCUCCAGUAAAAUUAUUAUGAGACAAGUCAAUGAUUUGAAGCUUGGAGAAGUUAGAAGGUUUGUGUUUCUCUAUCACCCCAUAAAAACCAUUGGACCGCAAAUUGAGGAUUCUCAACUCUGGAAGAUUCCCUAUCCACGAAGGGAAACGACCAGUGAAUUGGUUGUUGCUCAAAUCAAGCAACUGUAGCUUCGUACAACUGGCGAAUGAUCUUGGUACUUGUCCUUGUAUUUGAUUCUGACUUAAAUUGAUCAUUGCCAAUUUACAUUCAUUCCUCGAUCUGUUGUUGAAUGGGGGAGGGAUUGAGAGAGAUCCCUGUAGCAUAUUGAACCUUAGGUCUAAGACCCGUAAAUGAGUCCAUUGGAGAACAACUGGAUAUGGGUCUUGCUGAAAACCAGUCAAAAAGUUGUGAGAAAGGUUCAUAAAGUACAUCGAAGUUGUACUAAUGUUCCAAACCCAAGAAGGUAUUUGCCCAUGAAUGUUGUUGGAGGAAAGGUCAAGAAAUUCCAACUGAUCUUGGUUGUGCAAGAAAGUUGGGAACUCACUCAGGUUGCAUGACGCCAAUCCUAAAAACAUAAAAUUUUGAAUGUUGGCAUUUGAACUGAUUUUGGUGAGCAACAACAAAUUGUUGAAUGACAAGGACAAGACCACUAAGCUACUCAACUGAAGAAACAUAUUUAAGUCCACUUCCCCGGCUAAACUAUUUGAAUUAAGAUCAAGAAUUUCCAGAUUCUUGAGUUUAGAAAGACUGCUAGGAACGGAACCUUGCAAUUUAUUGAAUGAAAGGUCCAAGUGAGCCAGUUGGGAAAAAGUGUUGUUUACGAAUGGGAUUGGACCUGACAAUUGAUUAGAACUCAAAAAUAAAUAUUCAAUAUUGUUUAUCAGCCAAGAUGGGAUUUGACCUACUAAUUGAUUGUGAUCUAGCAUAAUAGCAGGAAGUUGAGUCAGGUUCACCAGCCAAGAUGGGAUUGGACCAGUAAGUUGACAAUAGCCUAAAUCUAGAAAAGAAAGUUGUGUCAGGUUCAUUAGCUGAGAUGGGAUGUUAUCAUUCAAGUUGAUACCAUGAAGAUCCAAAUCAGUGAGUUUGGUAAGUUUACAAAGCCAUGACAAGGAAGAACUUUGGCCCCAGAUAUUGUUAUAUGAGAGGUAAAGAAGUGUAAGUUUGGUGAGGUUACCAAGUGAGGACGGAAUCUGACCUGUGAAAUUGCAAUGAGAGAUGUCGAGUUGUUCCAAGUUGUCAAGAUUUCCAAUCGAAGAAGGUAUCUCUCCCACAAAUUUAACUUCGGAGAGGCUCAUUGAUUUGAGGGGACUUCCCUUUUGAAAGUCAGGCAAAGAAGCUUUGAGAUCUGAAUUUCCACUUAUGUCAAGCAUCUUCAGCUCUGGAAGCUGGAAAAUGCCCGUUGGGAAUUCUCCUUGCAGCUCACAUUGAUCAAGUUGGAGAGAUUGCAAAGCCGAAAAAUUAGCCAAGAGAUCAGGCACCCUUGAUAAUAUGUCAACGCUCGAGAGAUGCAGUGCCUUUAAAUGGGUCAGAUUUUGAACUAGACCUCUUAAACUAAGCUUAUGGAGCCUCAAAUCAUUGUUAUCAGAUAGAUCAAGGGAAAUCAAGCUGGAUAGAUUAGAGAUUUCAUCCGGGAUUUCACCAGAAAUGCGAGAAGAAGAGAGGUUGAGAUGAGUUAACCUCAAGAGAUGGCCUACUUGUUCUGGUAUUUGAGAGAAGUUGAAGUCAUUGUAGGCAAGAUUAAGCCUUCGAAGUUGAAGAAGAUGAAACAGGCCGCUGUUGGACUUGAUAGAACCAAAUAGACAACUGCUGCUGAGGUCAAGGCUAAUCACAUGAUUGGUUUCUUCAUCACAUUCCACACCAUCCCAUGAGCAACAGUCGCUACUUUCUCCAUGGAAAAGCUUCCAAGACUCGAUCUUUGAAGGAGCAGAAGGAUCACAACCACCAAUGGAAUUGUCGAUGACAAAGCCUUCCUUGAAUUGCAACAAGGAAGAUCUCUCAUCAUCAUGGCAUCGUGGCUGCGUAGAUGAAGAAAAAGAGUUAGUAAAUGCAAUAAGAUUACACAACAAGCUUGUUUUCCUUGCUCUUGUUGUGUAAUCUUAUUGCA